rnacentral:misc_RNA from 1 species
CUAAAAAGCAACAAAUAUGGUUCUCCUACUCAUGUUUCUGUAGCGGCAGCUGCUACUGAAUUCUGAUUCUAAUAUUGAUGGCAGAAAUGGCUUCCUAGGGAACAGAAUCUCCAGAUCUCAACAUGGAGAAGAAGAUUGGUGCUAGAAUUGGAAUGAGAAAGUGGGAUUGUUUAUGAGAUUUUGCUCGCUGGGGAAUUUCUGCAAUGUCCGUGAUGAUUAUGUAGAAUCCUUCGGCCGGUAAUCAUUCUUCUGUGUUUGGUGGAACUCAUCUGCCCGUUAACAAUUGGUAUAUAAUUCAUAUUGACAUCAUAUAUUUAAGCGAUUUAAAAUUUUUAUUUCAAAA